UACGUAGGGGGCAAGCGUUGUCCGGAAUUAUUGGGCGUAAAGAGCGUGUAGGCGGCCAGAUAAGUCCGCUGUGAAAUCUCGAGGCUCAACUUCGAGCUGUCGGUGGAAACUAUCUGGCUAGAGUCCGGAAGAGGAGAAUGGAAUUCCUGGUGUAGCGGUGAAAUGCGCAGAUAUCAGGAGGAACACCCGUGGCGAAAGCGGCUCUCUGGGACGGUACUGACGCUGAGACGCGAAAGCGUGGGGAGCGAUCCGG
rnacentral:rRNA from 1 species